UACGUAGGCAGCGAGCGUUGUUCGGAGUUACUGGGCGUAAAGGGUGCGUAGGCGGUUUUCCAAGUUUGGUGUGAAAUCUCCCGGCUUAACUGGGAGGGUGCGCCGAAAACUAGGAGACUUGAGUACCGGAGAGGUAAGCGGAAUUCCUGGUGUAGCGGUGAAAUGCGUAGAGAUCAGGAGGAACACCGAUGGCGAAGGCAGUUCUCUGGGCCGUAACUGACGCUGAGGAGCGAAAGCGUGGGGAGCGAACAGG
rnacentral:rRNA from 1 species